UCUUCUUAGCUUAGCUUAGCUAGCAGCAAAACGUGGGAAAAAUAAAAACCAUGACACUUUUUGUGUGAGUGCGUGUGUGCGUGUGUGCUUGUCCCCCCAGCCUGGAAGAUGGACCUCCUCAGAAUGUUUGUGCACUUUGUCACGUUGUGUAUCUAUGGCGUUGUUGUGUUUCUUUCCUUUGUGCUCACAACAGGCAUCCAUUAGUCACCUGGAAGUGGGUGUGGCCUAAAUGUGCUAACAGGGAGUGGUGCACACACACAGACACACACACACACACACUGCAGGUGAGCGCACGGCAGUUCCGACUCGUCUUCACCACGGAACAACAUGAUGAAUCUCUCGGACGCUCUUGAUGAGGGGGCCAACAACCAAUCAGCAGGUCUUUGGCCCAAUCCGUCCUCAGGCACCAACCCUGCCUGGCCCGGUGCACCACCUGGAGGUGCGGGUUCAGGGGGGUGGCCUGCACAGGGUGGAAGCUCCGGGGGCUGGCCUGCACCGCAAGGUGGAAGUUCCGGGGGGUGGCCUGCACCUGCGCCUGCACCUGCACCGCAGCCCGGAGGUGGGGGUUCAU